rnacentral:rRNA from 1 species
UACGUAGGGUGCAAGCGUUGUCCGAAAUUAUUGGGCGUAAAGAGCUCGUAGGCGGUUUGUCGCGUCUGCUGUGAAAAUCCAGGGCUUAACCCUGGACCUGCAGUGGGUACGGGCAGACUAGAGUGCGGUAGGGGAGAUCGGAAUUCCUGGUGUAGCGGUGAAAUGCGCAGAUAUCAGGAGGAACACCGGUGGCGAAGGCGGAUCUCUGGGCCGUAACUGACGCUGAGGAGCGAAAGCAUGGGGAGCGAACAGG